GUCGAACGGUAACGCGGGGCAACCUGGCGACGAGUGGCGAACGGGUGAGUAAUACAUCGGAACGUGCCCAGUAGUGGGGGAUAGCCCGGCGAAAGCCGGAUUAAUACCGCAUACGACCUACGGGUGAAAGGGGGGGAUCGCAAGACCUCUCGCUAUUGGAGCGGCCGAUGUCAGAUUAGGUUGUUGGUGGGGUAAAAGCCUACCAAGCCGACGAUCUGUAGCUGGUCUGAGAGGACGACCAGCCACACUGGGACUGAGACACGGCCCAGACUCCUACGGGAGGCAGCAGUGGGGAAUUUUGGACAAUGGGCGCAAGCCUGAUCCAGCCAUGCCGCGUGCGGGAAGAAGGCCUUCGGGUUGUAAACCGCUUUUGUCAGGGAAGAAACGGCCUGGGUUAAUACCUUGGGCUAAUGACGGUACCUGAAGAAUAAGCACCGGCUAACUACGUGCCAGCAGCCGCGGUAAUACGUAGGGUGCAAGCGUUAAUCGGAAUUACUGGGCGUAAAGCGUGCGCAGGCGGCCAUGCAAGACAGAUGUGAAAUCCCCGGGCUCAACCUGGGAACUGCAUUUGUGACUGCAUGGCUCGAGUACGGCAGAGGGGGAUGGAAUUCCGCGUGUAGCAGUGAAAUGCGUAGAUAUGCGGAGGAACACCGAUGGCGAA
rnacentral:rRNA from 1 species